CCUACGGGAGGCAGCAGUGAGGAAUAUUGGUCAAUGGACGAGAGUCUGAACCAACCAAGUAGCGUGAAGGAUGACUGCCCUAUGGGUUGUAAACUUCUUUUAUAAAGGAAUAAAACGAGGCACGUGUGCCUUUUUGCAUGUACUUUAUGAAUAAGGAUCGGCUAACUCCGUGCCAGCAGCCGCGGUAAUACGGAGGAUCCGAGCGUUAUCCGGAUUUAUUGGGUUUAAAGGGAGCGUAGAUGGGUUGUUAAGUCAGUUGUGAAAGUUUGCGGCUCAACCGUAAAAUUGCAAUUGAUACUGGCAGGCUGGAGUACAGUUGAGGUAGGCGGAAUUCGUGGUGUAGCGGUGAAAUGCUUAGAUAUCACGAAGAACCCCGAUUGCGAAGGCAGCUUACUAAACUGUGACUGACAUUGAUGCUCGAAAGUGUGGGUAUCAAACAGGAUUAGAUACCCCUGUAGUC
rnacentral:rRNA from 1 species